CCCGUUUUAUAAUUAUAUUAGUCAUUAUUUUAUUAUAAAAAAUUGGAAAAGAAAAAUAAAAUACAACUAAACUAUCUUUAAAAAUAGCCCACGCUGCACCCCCACCCCAUUACUUUCCCCACUCUCGAUCAAUUCUUUUCUUUUCUCUCGGCGUAGACAUAAACCCAGCGACUUGGCCUUCUCUUCUUUUGUUCAUUUUCUUGUUCCUCUUCACAACUAAAUGCUACACCAAAUUCCACCGUAAUAUAUAUACAUUCAUCAAGAAAAUUCUUGGCAUUCAAGUGGAGGCUUUUGGGACAAUUUUGGGAGUUAGGGUUUGUGUUUUAAGGAAGGAGAAUAGUACCCAUUGAUUCAGAAUUGCUUAAUUGGAUUAUUGAGAUUUGCCGGGCGGAGGUUCGUUUGCGUGUCGCGGAACGAUUGAGGACGGUCCAAUUGAUUCGUCAUAGCUAUUCUUCAGCAGCUGAGUAACAAGUUGUUCUUGGAUUCAGGUUGUCAGUUGUCUUGCUGGUAGGCCUCCAUUGGCUGGUGGCCUCAUUACUAUUUUAUUUCUUUUUAUUCUAGUUAUCUGCAGCUAUAGGGAGUCGUAGGUGAAUUUAGUUUGGGGUUGACGUUACCGUUUUAUUUUUGUAAGUAGACGCUGAGCGUUGAAUUCCGAUUUUGUACCUUUUCUUGAAAUUUUGGAUUUGGAGAACAUUAUUUAGCAGGUUAUGUUAUUUUGAGAUUAUUGAAAAUACAGAGGAUACUCUUUCGUUUUUGUUUUAAAUUUAUGCGGACGUAUUUAUCAUGGAAAAUUGGUUAUAAAUGGUUUAUGUGG